GUAGACAGUCUCCUGUUUCCAAGGAGAAGGUCUCUCACCUGGACAUUUGUAAUAGCUCUGCACGUCAAAUCGCAACCCGAGGUACUGUAAAACGUAAGCUUAUUCUCUUACAUCUCUGCGCACCCAGCUCAGAUGGAGUCUCCACUCUGAACUCUCCACACCGGCACUGAGGGCUCUGCUAUCUCAUCUGAGGUUAAGGUCAUCGAAACGCAUACGUCUGAGCCACGCUGGUUUCUGCAUUGCUGAAGAAUAGGGUGAGGCUGUUACUCUCUUGUUAACUGUACGCGGUGACUAUGUUCAGUUUUCAGUGUCCCUCUUGAGUUCUAGUUCAUGUGCCUCUCGGGGUACUUCCUACCACGCCUGCUACUUCUUGAUACAUUCCAGGUUUUCCUUCCUGUAAAAUUCUGGAAACAGCGUUCUGCUUUCAAAGGGGUCGUCUUGCUACAGAAGGCCUAACAUGGAUAAUAUCCCUUUGGAGUACUAGUUAGCACAACUGUAGAAAAGAUGUAUUAUCAUAUUUACAAGAUCACACACUCCAAGAAGGGGAUUAGCCAAGACUGGUAACAAGGAAGUGUGGUUUUGACAGUGGUUGAAGAAAGACGCCUAGGUAAGGCUCUGUAACUGGAGAUAACACCUACACCACUCAUGGAGCACAGAGAAGUCGAGCUGGCGCCUACCUAGAACCUUCAUCCCUACAGACUAGUGUUCAUGCUGCCCAAGGAGAAAGGUAAACACCAAC
rnacentral:lncRNA from 1 species